GCACAUUUUCAUUCAAAACACAGCAGGCUAACUUCACCGGUGAAUGCAGCCCACCUUAUGCUAUUUCCCUGCACUGGCACAGUGCGGUGAAAAACAUAUAGCUGAAAUGCAGCAGCCUAACACCGCUCCGCUGUACCACGUCGAUGUUCGCAGCUGGUCUGGCUGUAAGACGAGUGGCCCAGAUAAGUGGGGAGAGGAGUAUUUUUCCCUCCUGCUGCUGCAGAAAUCCCGGCUCAGGGAAGAAGAAGAAACUACUCCGCUUAGGAGGGAUCGAUACCAGCAAUGACCCCAGUAUAACGGAUGACACGUCCCACCCGCUAAACUCGCUGGGAAAAAAAAAAAGAAGUCAUCGGACUGCUAACUGGGGGGACGAGGACGGACCUGGAAGACAGUCUGCUGGGCACAAGGGCCUGAAAGUCAAGCAAAGGCUGCGGCGUUUAUCACUUUGUCAUGUGAUGUCAUGAUAAGCCGAUUGUAUUGAAAAAGUGACGUCAAUAACGUCUUUGCAAAUGUAGCGCCGUUUCUUGAGCGCGCGCCGUUAGAACUUCCUUUGUCUGCUCAGACUAAUGUGUCAGAGUACCGCCAGGCUGAAUAACUGCGCCUUAAUUGAUUCGAUGGAGCCCGUUCAUGCACCUCUUAUUAAAACAUCCUGGUUGUAUUGAUCAGGUGAAAACGCAGAAUCAUAAGAGAGAAAUCACUCUGGGAAAACGCCUGAUAAUUAAGAACCUGCCCAAAAGCAUUAAAGUGCUCUCUAGCUGGAGGCUCUUCAGUGUGGAGAGCACAGCCUCCGAUAGUCCAUUACGCUGAUAUACAGGUCGCAGAGGAACAAAACUCAAUUCGGAUUGGAUGAUUCCAGAUGCAGACAUUUCAUCUAGCUCAGUUUUCGGCACACUGUCAUCAGAGAAAACGUCAUCGGAAAUUUGUGGAUUGCAAAAAUAACCUUUUCAGUGUAUCUUAUAAAGGGCCUUUCCACAAAGAUUCAAUGGCCUAUUUUCUUUAUAUUUGAAUUCAACUCAUUUAUCUGUUGAAGAGGAUGUAGAGCAUCCAGAUGUGUUGCAUUUAGUAGGAACACUGCCUGUCCUUCUAAAUGGGAACUUACUGUGAGAUUCUCUUCAUGUCCUGACACACGCCUGAAGGAAGUAUUUCAAAAUGUACUCAACUAAAAGUGGCAAUACGAGAAUACGAAGUUCACAUCAUCACAGGCCUACUGAGCCUCACAGCACAGUUAAUACAAGCAGGCAGGUGACACAAGAGCUGAGAGCAGAGAAACAACGAAGACAAGCAGUGAAUGACAGGAUGGACAGAAAGGCUCAUUCUGAGCUAACAAAACACAAGCAUCCUCUUCGGGUUAAUGUACUCAAAUGAGGACACAGUUCUGAAUAUUACAUUCUGUUCUUCUAAUAAAUCCCCCUAAAUCCUGCGUAUUGCUCCUUUUAAAGCUAGGAUAGGGAAUUUAUUUUUAUUCAUUUUAUUUGAGUUUUUGUUGAAAUUCUAGUUAAAUCGCGACAGCGAUCAAUGAAUGAAAUGGUCUCACAAAAGAGGGAAAGGAAAGCUGGUGCCUGCGGCUUCUGCAGUAAGAACCGAUCACUUCAUUCGUCCUGCACAAGAUGAUUGCGUGCAGGCCGACGCGAGUUCUGACAGUAGCCGCGUCUGUUGUCGUUUGUAUCAUUUCACUUUCAAUAUGACAAUGUGAAGUUUUCUUAUAUGUGAUAUCAGACAUAACGGAACGUUCCUGCCUGGUGUACAUUUUUACUACAUGUGGUGUGAGUGUUAUGUUAGCCGACAUGCUCAAGUGCGUCUAGCUGCCCUGCUCUUGUCGCAGAAGAAGAAUCUUUACUUCUGACGACCAAAGAUAAACGUCACCGUCAGAUAAAGGUUGCUGUGUUCUGUGUCGAGGCCCUUUGGCCGCUGGGUUUCUUGUUCUCAUAUCAGCAUACUGUAAGCCGGCCAUUGACCCCCACCCCUGUAGCCGGGAUGGAGCUUUUGCAAUAAUGUUGGUGUGCUUGGCAAUGAACUGUACAAUCCUUCUGCACGUUUGGUUGACUAUUCAGUGUGUCGGUCUCCAAAUAUCCAUUGAUCUUCCACGACAACGGGCGAGUCACAAAAAAUGGGAAAGCGAAAGAAACUGCAAAAAGUUACAAAAACAUUGUUGGAGACUUACUGUUACUCAGCCUGCCUCAUAUUUUUACCUAAAAGCGACUUGAUCUGGUGGGAGGUACAAAGCUUACAAUAUCACAAAAAGGUGUUUUUCUCUCUGGUUCCUUGGACUGAUUGUUACAGUGAAUCGUUCUCUCACUGGUGGGAUUAGAAAGUGUUUCAAACGCACACUCGAGCUGAAUGUUACGGACAUUCAGAAAUCUCAGCAAUAAUAACCCCAAAAGCUCUCAAAGGCGGCCUUCCUGCUCAAAGCCAUCAGACGGGGUUUCAAUAAAAGAAAGUUCACAGAACGUCACUGGAAUCUGUUCAGACUCUUUUACGGAGGUUUGGUGCAAACAAUCAGACAAAGAAACCAAGGAGAUGGUGUGAAAACACUAAUUCCUUAGUGGGCAGAAAAGCAGAACAGGAUGCAGGCAGAAUGAAGCGUCCCUGCAGAUGUACACAAACCGAGGAAGCGCCAGGGAGCCACACGUGAUGAUGGAGUGCUGUAAUCUGGGCUGACGCUGGUUCAAGGGGAGGCCUGCGCACCAUUGUCAGUGUCUUUGAGCAUCGAGGGUUUCGCUAACGUGCUUCUCUGCUUGACGCGGAGUAUUUGUGAUCUCACAGCGAAUUUACCUUUGACCAAACAUUCUGAAAGGAAGUCGUCCAAAACCUGUUAUUGUGAUGUACUGCUUCAAUCUCAGGGCCGCCGCUCGGAGGGGGAACUGCAUGCGGACGGGCGCAGUGGCGCUGCUCCAACAUCCCAACGCCGUCGGCCCAAGGAAAAGCAAGAGGCGGAGGCCCGUACGUUACCGUGGACACCGCAGGCGGUGUGGGAGGGACGCGGUUCAUUGGGCGUCACAUCUGGUGCCUCGAGUACCUUUCACAUCGCUAUACAAACAGAAUGGAUCGUUAUUAUAUAAGCAUUAUCCAGCCGGUUCUUCUGCCCUCCCACCGGAAAAUUACAAUCCAGGCCGUUUACAUCUACGUGUUCACUUGUUAGAUCAUUUACAAAUUUAGGAAAGCAACGUCUAAGUUAUACACGUACAGCAGUGCUCCCGGUCUCUUUCACGCAGGGAAGCUUAUUGAUUAAACACUAUAACACGUAUGUGAUCAGUACUCAGUGUCAGUGCACAGCUGACGCCCACAUGUCGGUAUCAGUUAUUAGAUCGGGUGCUACAAUGAUACUAUGAUGCUGUUUUGUUGGAUCUCAUGUGGCGGAGAGAUCAGCGUGUGACGCGCGUACCUGCAACUUCUUUAAUGUGCUCGUAAAUUGGCCUUUCAACUUUUGCAAGUGUUGGGAUAAGCUCUAGUGAUUUGUCUCAGUAAUUACCACCUUUACUCUUCAGCAGCAGUCUGAAAAACCUCCUCGGCCUCCUGAGCAGCAUACAAUUAUAAUAUCUGAUUACUGUGGUCCAAAAACGCAGGUACAGUGAGUGGUAAAUGAAGCAGAGCUGCUCUCCCUGCAGAGUAAAACGCACCGACUGCUGCAAGGAAUUUUCAGGAGGGGAAAAAAACCAUGGGAGCUAAUUAUGUUAUAUUUCAGACAAUCAGUAAGGCAAAACUCCUUUGUUCAAUCGAAUACAAAAAAAGAAACCGCAAUAGCCCGGCAUCCUUUUAGCGUUAUCACAAUUUUUACAGAAAAAUAGAAUAAAAUCCCCUUUCAUGCCCAGUCUGGUGAAUGUUAAAUACCUGCAGAAUGCUGCUCCGUACUUUUCAUGAGACACAAAUCCGCUUUAUUGUUUAAGAGAGGAGGGAACCUGAUCAAAUGCAUCUUCUUUGAGAAAUUGUAAUCAUAUCAGUUAUUAAGCGAGUAGAUUUCCCAUGUCAGGUGAGCAGCAAUAUCCCUUUCCAUGAUGGCGUCCUCCACAGCCCAGCUGUCAUUGCAUGUGACAACAGCACCGGUGUCCACAUCUUAGUCUGAGGACGCAGUUCUUUGCGAAACACCUUAAUCAGCGCACUUCUGUGACAGUUUGACACCAAAAGAUGCUUUGAUUUUUUUUGUAUCAAAAAGUCUGUUUCUGCGAUAAGCCGGUUGUUUUUGUUUCCCACAUCAGAAUGGCUUUUGAUGAGGAUCGUGUUCGACUAAAUUUAGGCAUCAAAAAAGUUCUUCCCCCGCUUUGAAUUAGCCACACACUGUAACAAAUUGCUGUGAAUUUACGGUAUCUUACAGUAUGUCAUAAUAACUGUAACAUACAGUUAAAUUUCCAUCUCUUGCUUGUAAAUUAUUGGCCAAUGUCAAGAAUAAACAGUUAAAGCUGUCAAUUUACAAUAAUAGCAGACUGCCGUAUUUCAACUGCAUGU
ensembl:lncRNA